GUGGGGACAGGAAGUAGAAUGGCGGGGACAGGAAGUAGAAUGGCGGGGCCAGGGAUCGGGAGCCUUAGCAGUGAAGGGGGACAGUUUCAGUUGGGGAGGUGAGACCGCUCUGCAGACAAGGGUGAUGCCUCACGCCUGCUGGAGCCACACUUCAGACGGCCCCGGGGCUGAUGUUCUGUAGGCGCCCUGAGAUGAACGAAACCUCAACCACGGCAGCCGGGACGGAUGCGGACCGAUGGGGGUGUCACUCGCUCUCACCGGCGCAGUGGGAUGCCUGCUGCAGGCCCGCCAGGGACGAGGCACGGCAUCAGGCGCCCCUUGUGGAGCACAGCCCUCUGCCAUUUGAUGCAAUUCAGACACCGGGAAGAGGAGCUCAGAGUCACUGACGACCCCUCCCAGUUCCCCAAUGAGAGCCUCACACCACCCUGGCAGAGGAAGCUGCAGUUGAGCCUGGGGCUAGGAACUCCUGGACUGCCCUGAAUGGUAACUGUGAGGCCUGUUCCCUGAGACUCUGUCCUGGCCAGAAUGGGCAUGCGCAGAAGAGGAGGGGGCUGGAUGGCCCCAGGGAAGGGGUUUGGGGGCCCUCCGAAAGGAAGGGAUUUGGGCUCCCACCAUCCCUACAGCUUGUACUGCUGAAGAGAGAAGCUGUCACUUGCUGCCUGUCUACAUCUCUGUAUCCACCUCUAUAACCACCCUGUUUAUUUCUACUAAUAGUGACUGUAUGUGUCUAUACUGAUGUAAUCACUCAGCC
rnacentral:lncRNA from 1 species